rnacentral:rRNA from 1 species
AUUGAACGCUGGCGGCAGGCCCAACACAUGCAAGUCGAGCGAGCGGCGGACGGGGGAGUAAUGUAUGGGGAUCUGCCCGAGAGAGGGGGAUAACUACUGUAAACGGUAGCUAAUACCGCAUACUAUCGGAUGUACCCAUAUGGGAUUAGCUAGUAGGUGGGGUAAGGGCUCACCAAGGCGACGAUCCGUAGCUGGUUUGAGAGGAGGACCAGCCACACUGGGACUGAGACACGGCCCAGACUCCUACGGGAGGCAGCAGUGGGGAAUUUUGGACAAUGGGGGAAAGCCUGAUCCAGCCAUCCCGCGUGUAUGAGAAGGCCUUCGGGUUGUAAAGUACUUUUGGCAGAGAAGCGGUAUCUGCAGAAUAAGCACCGGCUAACUACGUGCCAGCAGCCGCGGUAAUUC